rnacentral:rRNA from 1 species
UUUCGCAAUGCCCGAAAGGGUGACGAAGCGACGCCGCGUGAGCGAAGAAGGCCUUAGGGUUGUAAAGCUCUGUCGAGGGUUAUGAAACGUAGAUGAGUUAAUACCUCAUUUAUUUGACAAAGGCCCCAAAGGAAGUCACGGCUAACUCUGUGCCAGCAGCCGCGGUAAUACAGAGGUGGCAAGCGUUGUUCGGUAUUAUUGGGCGUAAAGAGCACGUAGGUGGUUUUGUAAGUCAGGUGUGAAAGCCUUCUGUUCAAAGGAAGAACGGCAUCUGAAACUACAGAUCUUGAGUGUAGGAGGGGAGAGUGGAACUUCUGGUGGAGCGGUGAAAUGCGUAGAUAUCAGAAGGAACGUCGGCGGCGAAAGCGACUCUCUGGCCUAUUACUGACACUGAGGUGCGAAAGUUAGGGGAGCAAACGGGAUUAGAUACCCCGGUAGUCCUAACCGUAAACGAUGGGCACUAAGUAGAGGGGUUUU